GAUGAACGCUGACAGAAUGCUUAACACAUGCAAGUCUUUGGCGAAGCUGUGCUUGCACAGCCUAGCCAAGGCGGACGGGUGAGUAACGCGUAAGGAACUUGCCCUGCAGUCAGGGAUAACAGACGGAAACGACUGAUAAGACCUGGUAAAGUCAGGCGGACUCAUGUCCAGCCUGAUGAAAAGAGAUGCUGCAGGAGAGCCUUGCGUCCUAUUAGCUUGUUGGUGGGGUAACGGCCCACCAAGGCGAUGAUAGGUAGCCGGCCUGAGAGGGUGGACGGCCACAAGGGGAGUGAGAUACGGCCCUUACUCCUGCGGGAGGCAGCAGUGGGGAAUAUUGGACAAUGGGGGCAACCCUGAUCCAGCAAUUCUGUGUGCACGAUGAAGGUUUUCGGAUUGUAAAGUGCUUUCAGCAGGGAAGAAAAAAAUGACGGUACCUGCAGAAGAAGCGACGGCUAAAUACGUG
rnacentral:rRNA from 1 species